UUGGUGACCAGCGGAGGGAUCAUUACCGAGUUUACAACUCCCAAACCCAAUGUGAACGUUACCAAACUGUUGCCUCGGCGGGGUCACGCCCCGGGUGCGUCGCAGCCCCGGAACCAGGCGCCCGCCGGAGGAACCAACCAAACUCUUUCUGUAGUCCCCUCGCGGACGUAUUUCUUACAGCUCUGAGCAAAAAUUCAAAAUGAAUCAAAACUUUCAACAACGGAUCUCUUGGUUCUGGCAUCGAUGAAGAACGCAGCGAAAUGCGAUAAGUAAUGUGAAUUGCAGAAUUCAGUGAAUCAUCGAAUCUUUGAACGCACAUUGCGCCCGCCAGUAUUCUGGCGGGCAUGCCUGUCCGAGCGUCAUUUCAACCCUCGAACCCCUCCGGGGGAUCGGCGUUGGGGAUCGGGACCCCUCACACGGGUGCCGGCCCCGAAAUACAGUGGCGGUCUCGCCGCAGCCUCUCCUGCGCAGUAGUUUGCACAACUCGCACCGGGAGCGCGGCGCGUCCACGUCCGUAAAACACCCAACUUUCUGAAAUGUUGACCUCGGAUCAGGUAGGAAUACCCGCUGAACUUAAGCAUAUCAAUAAA
rnacentral:rRNA from 1 species